rnacentral:rRNA from 1 species
GCCCAGACUCCUACGGGAGGCAGCAGUGAGGAAUAUUGGUCAAUGGCCGGAAGGCUGAACCAGCCAAGCCGCGUGAAGGACGAAGGUGCCAAGCAUUGUAAACUUCUUUUGUCAAGGGACAAAAUCAGGCUCGAGAGCCUGACCGAGGGUACUUGAAGAAAAAGCAUCGGCUAACUCCGUGCCAGCAGCCGCGGUAAUACGGAGGAUCCGAGCGUUAUCCGGAUUUAUUGGGUUUAAAGGGUGCGCAGGCGGAGGUGCAAGUCAGCGGUCAAAUUGCGGGGCUCAACCCCGUACUGCCGUUGAAACUGCAUCCCUUGAGUGCGCGAGAAGUAUGCGGAAUGCGUGGUGUAGCGGUGAAAUGCAUAGAUAUCACGCAGAACUCCGAUUGCGAAGGCAGCUUACUAAACUAUAACUGACACUGAAGCACGAAAGCGUGGGGAUCAAACAGGAUUAGAUACCCGUGUAU